UAACUCAGACUCAGAAAGACAAACAUGUUUGCUCUAAUGGGAGUAGCCUCCAUCACACACCCCUUGGUCACCAACUGAGCUGUUUUGCUGUGAUGAACUGAAAAGAAACUCUGAAACCAUGGACCCAUGCUUCUUCCUGUGUAUGACAAGAAAUUCGAGCGCACUCAGGCAAAAGCUAACAGAAGAGAUGCAGGCCAGUGCUGCUGUAUGGGUCAAACUUCUGAAAAUUCCACCCGGCUUACUACUAUACAAACCGCCUAUCUGCUGGGGAUGCUGCAGUCUGCUGCUGAGGAUCUGGACCAGCACCAUACAAAGUGGUUGUUUCUAGGGAAACCAACGGUGGGUUUUGCCAGCAUGUCAACAGGCUUUGUGAUCUGAAAGAGGCUGGAGGGAAGCGAAGGCAGAGCCACUGAGCUGGAGCGGUGAGAUCCGGGAGGGGGCUGCCUGCCAGGCCGGCUGUGAGAGAAGAGCACAGCGCUGAAAGUUGGCAGAUUCGGAAACGACGCGGCAGAAUCCUAAUUGUAGUGGACGCACUUAGUAGCCAAUCCUGGCACGUGAGUCGAGAGAGCAGAAACGUCAGCAGAAAUAGACCCACUGCCCUCCAAAGGUCUAGCUGGAUGGGGAUGUCCAACAGGGGAUCCUGAACCUGUGGCAAGGGAAGCAGACACCAUCUGCAGCUCCCACACAGAUGGAUGGAUUUUCCUACACAUGCUGCGCACUCUUGGUGUGAUUUCAUCUCAUGCAUUUUCAAAGCGUACUGGGUGUCGGCAGAUGGCCCAGCUGGUGGGCCGAGACUGGCGGUCACUGGGCCUGCAGGAACUGGCCUGUUGCUUUACACUUCCAGCCCAAGUGAUGGUUUUGCGGUCCCGGAAGGAAAGAGGAAUGUGGACUCACAUGGCAGAAGAGCCAGCUUCUGAGGAAGACAUGUGGCCUUCUUCAACUCUCCCUCAGAAUGAAGCCAAUCAGGUGGGGACUGGAAGCCCACACUCAGGUGGUCGAGACCAACCAGGAGGAGGUCAUCACUCUGCUAUGUCAGGUUCUGGGUCUGAACCCAGUCCACUGAGGAGGGAAAUACACAUGUGUGUCAGUUAUUUUUCUGUUGCUGUGAAGAGACACCAUGGCCAAGGCUUGUAAAA